AGAGUAUUUAUAAGUGGAAGAGCAUGAUAAAUAAUUUUUAAAAUGUCUAUUUUAGACAGUUCAGGCUACUAUAACAGAAUACACUGGGUGGCUUAAACAACAAACUUUUUUUCUCACAGUUCUGGAGGCUGGGAAGUCUAAGAUCAAGUCACUGGCAUCAAGGGGCUCUCUUCCUGGUUUGCAGAUGGCCACCUUCUCAUCAUAUCCUCACAUGGCAGAAGUAGGUGGGAGCCAAGCUCUUGCAUCUCUGCUUAGAAAGAUUCUGGAACAAGUGAGGUGAUGAUGGUGGGGAGGAAAAGAUCAUGGACUUGUCCAGGAGACCUCAGUUCUACUUGCUCAACCUCUGUGCUGUGAAGUGAAGCUACUGUACUAGGUGAGGAUCUCACCAGACAGGGUCGCAGUAAGACACAGAUGGUGAACUUAAUGGGUGAAUUAAAAGGAGUGUAAUCAAGAGAUUAUGUACAGAGGUGUGGACAGGGUUAAGGGAGACCAUGAAGCAUCCAGGGAUUCACAUCAGCAAGGAGCCAUUGCCACCCUUGAUCCCCACCUGAAAGGAACAAGGGUAGGGAAUGGUGUUACUAGAAGCUGGUGAGAGUUGGAGCCCUGGAAGAGAGCCAGCCCACAAGAGCUGUAGUUAUGGAGGAAUUCAGGCACUACAAAAAUCCUAGCCCAGCAGGCAAAAGCAAAGGAAUAUAUUCCAGAUUUGUCUCUCCUCUGACCACUAAUCACUGCUGGUAUCUCGCUAGUUAAAUCCAUCAGAAAACCAUAGUAUGUGGAAGUCAGCGUGCUGCACAGGGCAGGGCAGAGAAGGGAGGGAGAGUAGGCACAGAGAGUAACCAGCCUGGCAGAUUUAUGAUUCUGAAAGUCUCAGAGAGUCUGCUACACUGGCCUGGUCAUCCUGGCCUGGAGGAAUGUGUUAAAUAGGUGCAAUGGCUCAGCAAUAGAUGCCCUAACUCCUCCCAGGAAAAGUGAGAACCCAAAUUGCUGAUCUUAGGUUGGGAAAUGGAGAGCUCAGAUAUACCUUGGGAUGUGAACUAUGGCUCUAAGAAUGAUCUGAGAGGCAGCUUCAAAAAAGCAAAACCUAAAUUACAAACCAGGCAGAUGAUCCAAAAGAGGUGUCAGGCUGAAGGAGCUGCGUAGAGAUAGAAUUCUGGGAAAAGGAUAAUGCAGAACCCUCAAGUAACUAGUGAUUGAUGAUGACGUUUGGAAUACAAGUAUGGGGCUGGGACUGGGGACUUUCUGAGACACUAAAGUGCAUUCGUCAGAGCUCUUCCAGGGCCUCUGUGGUUCAGGAAUAGAAUGGUAUGCAAUUCAUUUGCUCAUUAAUUAAUUACUUAAUUCAACAAGUAUGUAAUUUUUUAAAUUGAGAUGGGGGUUGGGGUCUCACUAUGUUGCCCAGGCUGGACUUGAACUCCUAGGCUCCAAGCAAUCCUCCCACCUCAGCGUCCUGAGAAGCUGGGAUUUUUAAGUGUGUACCACCAUGCCUGGCUCCAACAAGCAUGUACUGAAUUAUCUUGUCUGUGCUAGGCAGGGGGCCAGGUGCUAAGGCUAGAACAAUCAAAAAAACACAAACCCUGUCCUGAAGGAGCUCAACUAGAUGAUUCCUCAAAUAGGGUCAACAGCCAAUCACAACACAGUAUGUAUGAUGAGUGGUCCUGAGGGAUCACAGAAGAGGGACACAACACUAGUCUGGGUGGGUAAGGAGAGCUUCUCAAGGAAGGGACCUCUAUACUGACCCUGAAUGCUGAAUUAGCCAGAGAGGACAGGGUCAGAGAGGGAGGUGGGAACAGCUGGAGGAAGCUCCCAUGUAUUUAGGGGACUGCUAACAGUUCAGUAAAGUUAAGUGGGAAGUGAUGAAAGUUGAGGCUGGAGGGGUAGGCAGAGGCAGAUCCUAAUAAGCAUUCUUUGUCAGGGUGAAGACACUGAAGUCAAAGGACAGGGGAGUGACAUGAUCAGAUUUGAAUUUUAGAAAAAUCAUUCUGGUUCCGGUGUGAAGGGCAGAGAAAGGAAGGCUGGGCACAAAAGACAGGGAGACCAGUAAAAAAGAUGUUUCAACUACCUGAGAGAGAAACCAUGAUGUUUAGGUGUCCCUGAACCAGGUAGCACCAGUGGACAUGAGUGAACAGACUCAGACACAUUUAGUGGAAGAACUGGCCAGGCUAGGUGACUGUCAGGAUAUCAGGAUGAGAAAGAGGGAGAACUCUAGUUUGGUCACUGGGUUGCUGCUAAUGCCAGUCACUGAGAGUCAAGCCACAGAUGAAUGAGGCACAGCUGGGUAGAGGGCAAUGUGGGGACAGUUUGAUAAAGAUGUAUCUCUCUUUUUAGUGAGUCAGCAUGCUUUAUAUGACUGAGAAUAAAUCAUUAAACAGAUUACACUUCAUGCUAUAUUCUGAAAGUUUGUAUUACCCCAAAAUUCAUAUGUUGAAAUGUAAUCCCCCAUGCAAAAAUGACUGACAUUAUUAAGAGGUGGGAUCUUUAGGAGGAGUUUAGAUCAUGAGAGUGGAGUCUUCAUGAAUGGGAUUAGUGCCCUUAUAAAAAGAGGCCCAAGGGAGCUUGCUGGCCCCUUCCACCAUGUAAGAAUACAAUGAGAAGGUGCCAUCGAUAAAGAGGUGGGCCCUCAUCAGACACCAAAUCUGCUAGAGCCUUGAUUUUGGACUUCCCAGCCUCCAGAACUGUGAGAAAUAAACUUCUGUUGUUUAUAAGCCACCUAGUUUAUAGUAUUUUUGUCAUAGUAGCCCAAACAUACUAAGAUACUUCAUAAAUGUGUUAAUGGUAUUGCUGGGCUGGGGUCAGGCAAGUGUCCCCAUCCUAUAAGAUUGGGAAACACUGAAUUAAAUGAAGCUAAACAGUUUUUGUUAUCUCAGAACUUCUCAGAGUCAUUAAUAGCCUAGGGCCUUUGAUGUCCUAAACAGGAUAUCACUUGCUGUAUUUAUCAAAUCUAUUUUAGCCCCAUCCCCCCACACCACCACACAACACCUAUUUAUAUCCCUUGUAAAUGUAUUUCUCAGAAUGGUGUUACUUAAAGUGUAGCCCAAAGACCAGCUUCAGUGUGCAAACUAUUAUAGUCUAUGACAAGGUAAGUACAGAAAUUGAGACUGUUUAG
rnacentral:lncRNA from 10 species